CAUCUCUAAGGAACUCCCCCAA
rnacentral:miRNA from 1 species